rnacentral:snRNA from 1 species
GUGCUCGGUCAGCAGUCCCUAUGCUAUAUUUGGAAUGAUACGGAGAAGAUUAGCAUGGCCCCUGCACAAAGAUGACACGCAAUUCAUGAGGCAGCAUAUAUAUAC